rnacentral:rRNA from 1 species
UACGUAGGGUGCGAGCGUUAAUCGGAAUUACUGGGCGUAAAGCGUGCGCAGGCGGUUGUGCAAGACAGGUGUGAAAUCCCCGGGCUUAACCUGGGAACUGCGCUUGUGACUGCACGGCUAGAGUACGGCAGAGGGGGGUGGAAUUCCUGGUGUAGCAGUGAAAUGCGUAGAUAUCAGGAGGAACACCGAUGGCGAAGGCAGCCCCCUGGGCCUGUACUGACGCUCAUGCACGAAAGCGUGGGGAGCAAACAGG